CCCUUAGACGUUCUGGGCCGCACGCGCGCUACACUGACCAGUGCAACAAGCAUCCGUCCUUGGCCGACAGGCUCGGGCAAUCUUUGAACGCUGGUCGUGAUGGGGAUAGACUUUUGCAAUUUUUGGUCUUCAACGAGGAAUUCCUAGUAAACGCAAGUCAUCAACUUGCAUUGAUUACGUCCCUGCCCUUUGUACACACCGCCCGUCGCACCUACCGAUUGAAUGGUCCGGUGAAGCCUCCGGAUUGGCGCGCACCUCGGUGCCGCCGAGAAGUUGGCUAAACCUUAUCAUUUAGAGGAAGGUGAAGUCGUAACA
rnacentral:rRNA from 1 species